rnacentral:rRNA from 1 species
UACGAAGGGUGCUAGCGUUGUUCGGAAUCACUGGGCGUAAAGCGCGCGUAGGUGGCUUUUUAAGUCAGAGGUGAAAGCCUGGAGCUUAACUCCAGAACUGCCUUUGAAACUGAAAAGCUUGAGUCUUGGAGAGGAUACUGGAAUUUCUAAUGUAGCGGUGAAAUGCGUAGAUAUUAGAAGGAACACCAAUGGCGAAGGCAGGUAUCUGGACAAGCACUGACACUGAGGCGCGAAAGCGUGGGGAUCAAAC